GACGAACGCUGGCGGCGCGCUUAACACAUGCAAGUCGAACGGAAAGGCCUGCUUUCCCUUGUGGAUUGCGGGUACUCGAGUGGCGAACGGGUGAGUAACACGUGAGUGAUCUGCCCCCAACUUGGGUAUAAGCCUGGGAAACUGGGUCUAAUUCCCGAUAGGACUGCAGGGUGGUGCCUGUGGUGGAAAACGAUUUUCUAGUGGUUGGGGAUGAGCUCGCGGCCUAUCAGCUUGUUGGUGGGGUAAUGGCCUACCAAGGCGGCGACGGGUAGCCGGCCUGAGAGGGUGGACGGCCACAUUGGGACUGAGAUACAGCCCAGACUCCUACGGGAGGCAGCAGUGGGGAAUAUUGCACAAUGGGCGGAAGCCUGAUGCAGCGACGCCGCGUGGGGGAUGACGGCCUUCGGGUUGUAAACUCCUUUCGACCGCGAGGAAGCCACCUGGUUGGAAGGGUGGUGACGGUAGUGGUAGAAGAAGCGCCGGCUAACUACGUG
rnacentral:rRNA from 1 species